ACGGGUGAGUAACACGUGGGUGACCUGCCUUCGAGUGGGGGAUAACGUUUCGAAAGGAACGCUAAUACCGCAUGACAUCCUGCCUUUGGACAGGCGGAGAUCAAAGCUGGGGAUCGCAAGACCUGGCGCUUGAAGAGGGGCCCGCGUCCGAUUAGCUAGUUGGUGAGGUAACGGCUCACCAAGGCGACGAUCGGUAUCCGGCCUGAGAGGGCGGACGGACACACUGGGACUGAGACACGGCCCAGACUCCUACGGGAGGCAGCAGUGGGGAAUUGUUCGCAAUGGGCGCAAGCCUGACGACGCAACGCCGCGUGGAGGAUGAAGGUCUUCGGAUUGUAAACUCCUGUUGAUCGGGACGAACAACCAUCGGGAUAACACCCCGGAGGUCUGACGGUACCGAUUGAGGAAGCCCCGGCUAACUCUGUGCCAGCAGCCGCGGUAAUACAGAGGGGGCAAGCGUUGUUCGGAAUUACUGGGCGUAAAGGGCGCGUAGGCGGCCACCUAAGUCAGACGUGAAAUCCCUCGGCUCAACCGGGGAACUGCGUCUGAUACUGGGUGGCUUGAAUUCGGGAGAGGGAUGCGGAAUUC
rnacentral:rRNA from 1 species